rnacentral:rRNA from 1 species
GACGAACGCUGGCGGCGUGCCUAAUACAUGCAAGUCGAGCGAGCUUGCCUAGAUGAAUUUGGUGCUUGCACCAGAUGAAACUAGAUACAAGCGAGCGGCGGACGGGUGAGUAACACGUGGGUAACCUGCCCAAGAGACUGGGAUAACACCUGGAAACAGAUGCUAAUACCGGAUAACAACACUAGACGCAUGUCUAGAGUUUAAAAGAUGGUUCUGCUAUCACUCUUGGAUGGACCUGCGGUGCAUUAGCUAGUUGGUAAGGCAACGGCUUACCAAGGCAAUGAUGCAUAGCCGAGUUGUGAGACUGAUCGGCCACAUUGGGACUGAGACACGGCCCAAACUCCUACGGGAGGCAGCAGUAGGGAAUCUUCCACAAUGGACGCAAGUCUGAUGGAGCAACGCCGCGUGAGUGAAGAAGGGUUUCGGCUCGUAAAGCUCUGUUGGUAGUGAAGAAAGAUAGAGGUAGUAACUGGCCUUUAUUUGACGGUAAUUACUUAGAAAGUCACGGCUAACUACGUG